CAGCCGCCGCGGUAAUACGUAGGGUGCAAGCGUUCAUCGGAAUUACUGGGCGUAAAGCGUGCGCAGGCGGUUCGGAAAGAAAGAUGUGAAAUCCCAGAGCUUAACUUUGGAACUGCAUUUUUAACUACCGGGCUAGAGUGUGUCAGAGGGAGGUGGAAUUCCGCGUGUAGCAGUGAAAUGCGUAGAUAUGCGGAGGAACACCGAUGGCGAAGGCAGCCUCCUGGGAUAACACUGACGCUCAUGCACGAAAGCGUGGGGAGCAAACAGGAUUAGAUACCCUGGUAGUCCACGCCCUAAACGAUGUCAACUAGCGGUUGGGGCCUUCGGGCCUUGGUAGCGCAGCUAACGCGUGAAGUUGACCGCCUGGGGAGUACGGUCGCAAGAUUAAAACUUAAAGGAAUUGGCGGG
rnacentral:rRNA from 1 species